UGGGCAAUGGACGCAAGUCUGACCCAGCGAUGCCGCGUGAAGGAUGAAGGCCCUAGGGUUGUAAACUUCUGUCAGCAGGGAAGAUAAUGACGGUACCUGCAGAGGAAGCCCCGGCUAACUCCGUGCCAGCAGCCGCGGUAAUACGGAGGGGGCAAACGUUACUCGGAUUUACUGGGCGUAAAGGGUCCGUAGGCGGUUCUUUAAGUUAGAUGUGAAAGCUUGAAGCUUAACUUCAAAAUUGCAUCUAAAAACUGGAGAACUAGGUUCUUGGAGAGGUUGAUGGAAUUACCGGUGUAGCGGUGAAAUGCGUAGAUAUCGGUAGGAACACCAGUGGCGAAAGCGAUCAACUGGCCAAGUAACGACGCUGAGGGACGAAAGCGUGGGUAGCAAACAGGAUUAGAUACCCUGGUAGUCCACGCCCU
rnacentral:rRNA from 1 species